rnacentral:misc_RNA from 1 species
UUUCCGUAGGUGAACCUGCGGAAGGAUCAUUGCACACACAAAGUUGCAGCAAACCCUUUGCGAACCCCAACAACCGUCCCCUCCUCUUUGGUCUUAACUGCCAAGGGGGAACCCAAGUCCCUCCCUCCCUUCCCCGGAAGGGAGUGAGUGUGACUUGGCAACCACAACCGAUUGCGCAAUGCAUCAACACUUUCAAUAUGACUGAGUAUAAAAAUUUCGGCGCCUUCGGCGCCCGAGUUGUAAUAAACAAAAACAACUCUCAGCAACGGAUAUCUUGGCUCUU